GAUGAACGCUGGCGGCGUGCUUAACACAUGCAAGUCGAACGGCGGAGCAGGAGCUUGCUCUUGUGGAUCAGUGGCGAACGGGUGAGUAACACGUGAGCAACCUGCCCCUGACUCUGGGAUAAGCGCUGGAAACGGCGUCUAAUACUGGAUAUGUGAUGUGACCGCAUGGUCUGCAUCUGGAAAGAAUUUCGGUUGGGGAUGGGCUCGCGGCCUAUCAGCUUGUUGGUGAGGUAAUGGCUCACCAAGGCGUCGACGGGUAGCCGGCCUGAGAGGGUGACCGGCCACACUGGGACUGAGACACGGCCCAGACUCCUACGGGAGGCAGCAGUGGGGAAUAUUGCACAAUGGGCGGAAGCCUGAUGCAGCAACGCCGCGUGAGGGAUGACGGCCUUCGGGUUGUAAACCUCUUUUAGCAGGGAAGAAGCGAAAGUGACGGUACCUGCAGAAAAAGCACCGGCUAACUACGUGCCAGCCGCCGCAGUAA
rnacentral:rRNA from 1 species